rnacentral:rRNA from 1 species
AUUCUAGAGCUAAUACAUGCUGGUAUGCUCGACUUUUGUGGAAGGGCGGUAUUUAUUAGAUAACAAGCCAAUAUUCCUCUGGUCUAUUGUGGUGACUCAUAGUAACUGAUCGAAUCGCGAGGCCUGUGGCCGCGAUAAGUCAUUCAAGUUUCUGCCCCAUCAGCUUUCGAUGGUAGUGUAUUGGACUACCAUGGCGUUUACGGGUAACGGAGGAUUAGGGUUCGAUUCCGGAGAGGGAGCCUGAGAAACGGCUACCACAUCUAAGGAUGGCAGCAGGCGCGUAAAUUACCCAAUCCUGAUUCAGGGAGGUAGUG